rnacentral:rRNA from 1 species
GACGAACGCUGGCGGCGUGCUUAACACAUGCAAGUCGAGCGGCAGCGCGGGGGCAACCCUCGGCGGCGAGCGGCGGACGGGUGAGUAACGCAUCGGAACGUGUCCUCUUGUGGGGGAUAACCAGUCGAAAGACUGGCUAAUACCGCAUGAGCUCGUAAGAGGAAAGCAGGGGACCCGCAAGGGCCUUGCGCGAGAGGAGCGGCCGAUGCCCGAUUAGCUAGUUGGNGA